ACGGAGGGUGCAAGCGUUGUCCGGAAUCACUGGGCGUAAAGGGCGCGUAGGCGGCCUGGUAAGUAGGGGGUGAAAUCCUGCGGCUUAACCGCAGGGCUGCCUUCUAAACUGUCAGGCUUGAGCACGGUAGAGGCAGAUGGAAUUCCCGGUGUAGCAGUGAAAUGCGUAGAGAUCGGGAGGAACACCUGUGGCGAAGGCGGCCAGCUGGGCCGGAUCCGACGCUGAGGCGCGAAAGCGUGGGGAGCAAACAGGA
rnacentral:rRNA from 1 species